UACGGGGGGGGCAAGCGUUGUUCGGAAUUACUGGGCGUAAAGGGCUCGUAGGCGGCCAACUAAGUCGGAUGUGAAAUCCCCAGGCUCAACUUGGGAACUGCAUCCGAUACUGGAUGGCUUGAAUUCGGGAGAGGGAUGCAGAAUUCCAGGUGUAGCGGUGAAAUGCGUAGAGAUCGGGAGGAACACCAGAGGCGAAGGCGGCGACCUGGAGAGUGACUGACACUCAACUGCGAAAGCGUGGGGAGCAAACAGG
rnacentral:rRNA from 1 species